rnacentral:rRNA from 1 species
UAGUCUACGCCGUAAACGAUGGUCACUAGCUGUUCGGCAUUUAUGCUGAGUGGCUAAGCGAAAGUGAUAAGUGACCCACCUGGGGAGUACGUUCGCAAGAAUGAAACUCAAAGGAAUUGACGGGGGCCCGCACAAGCGGUGGAGCAUGUGGUUUAAUUCGAUGAUACGCGAGGAACCUUACCAGGGCUUAAAUGUAGGUUGACAGGACUAGAGAUAGUUUUUUCUUCGGACAACUUACAAGGUGCUGCAUGGUUGUCGUCAGCUCGUGCCGUGAGGUGUCAGGUUAAGUCCUAUAACGAGCGCAACCCCUAUUGUUAGUUGCCAUCAGGUAAUGCUGGGAACUCUAGCAAGACUGCCGGUGCAAACCGCGAGGAAGGUGGGGAUGACGUCAAAUCAUCACGGCCCUUACGUCCUGGGCUACACACGUGCUACAAUGGCCGGUACAAUGAGCAGCCACUUGGUGACAAGGAGCGAAUCUUAAAAACCGGUCACAGUUCGGAUCGGAGU